rnacentral:lncRNA from 1 species
AUAUUUAUAAGCCUGUAUAGGCAUGCAUACAUAUCCUUUUGUUUUAUGUAAUUUAUGUUAUUAUAAAUUAAUUUUUUUUUUAUUUUUUUUUUAUUUAUUUAUUUAUUUAUUUAUUUUAUUUUUUUUAUUAGGAACAAGAAAUAAACCCCUUUGGUCAAGAACAAUCAGAAUUGCUAGAAAAUCCGUUCAAUUCUGAAAAUAUGGAACAAGCUGAAAAUCCGUUNNNNNNNNNNGCUGAAAAUCCGUUCAAUUCUGAAAAUAUGGAACAAGCUGAAAAUCCCUUUGAUGAAAAACCAUCAAAAUUGAUAGGAGUUAUAUCAAGUUCUGAAAAUAACAAAGAAGUUGAACAUACUGUUCUAGAAGUAAUACCGGAAGUAAGUUCGAGCAUUGAAGAAAUAAAUAAAUCAAAUGAAACUAUAGCAGAACCAGUAGUUGAAGAACCAGAAGAUGAAAAACAAGAAGAUAAAGAACCGAAAUAUUUUCGACUAGCGACAACUAAUAAACUAGAUUAUUCUCCAUCUACGGUAAUAAAUGAAGCGCCAAGUGAUGGAUCAUCAAUGGAAGUUGUGACAGUUGAAAAAGAAGAUAAUGCAAAAGUUGAGCCAAAUGAAAAAGCUCCUUCUACUCUAUUCACUGAUAACGAUUUAGUGGUUGCAAUACCAAGUAAUAAACCAAAACCAACAGUUAAAAUAAAUAAAAUUUCUAAAUGGAUGGAAACUGAAGAAAAACUUUAUUUUAAUAAAAUAAAAAAUAUGGAAUUAAAAUGGAAAACAGAAAAAAUUGAGGAAAUUAAAUACUUUUUACUUUAUUUAGAAAAACGUUGGUUAAGUUAUAAAGGAAAUGUUGAUACAAAAGUAUCAAAAGAUUUUGAAAAAAAGUCCCUUUCAUGGCAAGACGACCAAUGGAAAAAUUGGAUAUACUCAGAAGGUACUGAUUUACUUAUAAACCAAUUUAACAUGUGGCUUAAAUUUGGCGAGCUAGAGUUGAAAUAUGACGCAAUAGAAAAUUUUAAAGAUUGGGUACUAGAAAAAGAAUAUACUAUUGAUGCACAAUCAUGGUCAAAUGAUAAAAAAGUUAAAAAAUUAAAUAAAUUUUUGAAAAAUGCACAAACAAUGCAAAAUGAAGUACAUAAACAUGUAGAUAAUUUUCAUAAACCCGUAAACAAAAAAUUAUUUAAUACAUUUGUUAUAUGGAAAAACGAUUUUAUUAAGAGAUGGUUAAAAGAAAAAAUAUAUAACAGUUGGUUAAAUGAAAUACAUAAUUAAAAAAAAAAAAAAAAAAAUAGUAAAAAAAUAUAUAUAUAUGUAUAAAAUUUUAAAUGCGUGCAUGUUAUAUAACAUUAUAUUUUAUUAUAUUGCAUCAUUGUGUUUUACUUAAUUUUU